rnacentral:sRNA from 1 species
UUGUGUGUGUUACUGGUCGUUCUAGCCUUUGUAAAGGAAACACAAAGUGGAUCUCCGCCGUGUAAAAAGCCUGCAGAAAGCUGUACGCGAACUUUGAACUGUUGCUCUCCAUUGAAAUGCUUCUUUCCAAGGUGGCCAAUUAACGGAAGGUGUUUAGAUGUUCCACAAGGACGCCAACUCCGUUGGGAACAAGCUUAGCCACCCUAAGAAACAUUGUACAGAACAAUCCGUAGAGGCGAUUAAACUACAUCUUCAAUUUUAAGGCAUCCCAUGUUAAAAAGCAUGAUAAGCCUAAAAUAAACUAAAAAACAAAAAAAACAAGUGACACAUAAAAGGAAAAAAAAACGCAUUGAAUUAUGUUGUUGAUUUUAGAGAGAUAAAAUCUAAACUUGUAUUUUUUUGUUUGUUUUCCUAAAACAUACAGAGAACGUAUAUACUAUAUAUUUUAGUGAUAAGCAAGAAAACACAUUAAAGUAUAAUUGAGAUUGCUAUAUUCUGGUUACCUCCAUGUGGCCAACGAGCUAUUAAUUCUUUCCUUUCAGUGAUAUACAUCAACUGUUAUAGUUCUAAAAUAAUCGUUUGAACCGUUUCUUAAGAUCAACGUCCUUGCAGGUUCCAUCAUGUUCCUGGUUGCAUGGAGUUUGACUUGAAUAAAGUCUGUACUAGAGAGU